rnacentral:rRNA from 1 species
AGCGAACGCUGGCGGUAUGCUUAACACAUGCAAGUCGAGCGCGAAAGUGACUUCGGUCAUGAGUAGAGCGGCGGACGGGUGAGUAACACGUGGAUAAUCUGCCUUUAGGACUGGGAUAACCCUGGGAAACUAGGGCUAAUACCGGAUAAGACCACAGGUUCAAUGGAACCAGGGGUAAAAGGCGGCCUUCGGGCUGUCGCCGAAAGAUGAGUCCGCGUCCCAUCAGGUAGUUGGUGAGGUAACGGCUCACCAAGCCGAAGACGGGUAGCCGACCUUAGCGGGUGAUCGGCCACACGGGGACUGAGACACGGCCCCGACCUCCUACGGGAGGCAGCAGUGGGGAAGUCUUGGGCAAUGGGCGCAAGCCUGACCCAGCAACGCCGCGUGGGGA